rnacentral:lncRNA from 1 species
ACUGAAAUUUCUGCUUCAAUAUUAAAUUUUGAUACUGAUUCAAUAUUAAGCUACUUUUUCAUACACGUCUAUCAACUACUAAAAUUAAGUUAUUGAUUCAGAUUAACCACACAUAAAUAAAUACAUUAACAGGAAAAUUUAAAAAAAAACACAAACUGCUUCUACUUCUUAUGCAACACAGUAACAACCAACAAGCAUAAGUGCAUAACUAACAUUUAACAUAUAGCCUUCAGUCUUAAACAGACACAAGAGAAUUAGAUUGAAGGCCAUGUAACAAGCUGCCAAACUGCUAGCAUUCAGACAUAAACUGCUAGCAUUCAGACACAUAAACUGCUAGCAUUUAGAUUCCAUGCCAUGUAACAAGCUGCCAAUGCCAAGCUGUAAUUGUAACAUUUACACACUGCCAAUGCCAAACAUUUACACAUUGCCAAGCUGCAAUUGUAACAAACAUGCAGAAGUAAUAUCAGGAACACCUGAACAACCAAUUGCAUUGUUCCAAUUACAUUUACACACUGCCAAUGCCAAGAACACCUGAUUAGCCAAACCAUAAACACGAAUACACAACAUAUAAGAAAGACAGUAACAGGCAACAACCAAAUAAGUCAAUAGCAGGCAGGAGCCAAAUAAACAAAGUGCAAAACAGAAAGGAAAUCCCUCAAUUCAAUUUUACACUAAUAGUCUCGAAUCAACUUAGUCUUAAUUCUUAAACUAGACUAAUAGUAGGAUGGCAAAGACAUACUCGUAUAAGUUCUCAUGUCAAGAAAUGGUGUGCUGAAGCAGCAAAAUUCUUUGUUAGUACAGAUUAACUCAAAUUACAAUUAAUUUUCCCUUAACACAUCACUAACUAAUUCAUAUUAACAACUAAUUUCAGCAAGCGUCCACUGAGACGAGUCACAAAUAGAGAAAACCAAUUUCAUAGCUAAUCAACAUCAUAAAAAAAGCACAGCCUCCUCAAAGCAUAAAAAAAUCGAUUAUACAAAUCUUUAAAACUCCACAGAGCAUCCGAGAAAAUGGACAUUAGUUCUAUCUAAACUUCAAAACUUAUAUCAUGAAAUGAGAGUUCCUUGAGACAAAUUAGAAAAAUAAAGAUUGAAGAAUGAAAGUUAAAAAGUUAUGAACCUAUUGAAGUCUUGAUUUGAAGAGUUGACAGCGGUGAACGUACACCAGACAGCUGAUCUGGCGAUCUCAUGGGUGAGUGGCCACAACAAACACCGGACAACAAUCUCACAAGAGAGUCAUUCGUUCUUAGGUUUCUCAAUACCUCAAACGCUCAGUCGUUCUUAUUUCUUAGUUCUUAGGUUUCUCAAAUGUUAGGACUUAAGGUAAGA